rnacentral:rRNA from 1 species
UACAUGGGGUGCAAACGUUGCUCGGAAUCACUGGGCGUAAAGCGCACGUAGGCGGAUUGUUAAGUCAGGGGUGAAAUCCUGGAGCUCAACUCCAGAACUGCCUUUGAUACUGGCGAUCUUGAGUCCGGGAGAGGUGAGUGGAACUGCGAGUGUAGAGGUGAAAUUCGUAGAUAUUCGCAAGAACACCAGUGGCGAAGGCGGCUCACUGGGCCCGGUACUGACGCUGAGGUGCGAAAGCGUGGGGAGCAA